UUAAUACAAGGCCGCAGCGUGAUGUUUAGGAAGAGCAAAAGAAACAUAAAAGGGAGGAGAAAGAGUUCAUGGGCAAGGUGAUCGAGGCAGUGGAUGAACAAAAAGAAAAACUUAUAUAAGGCUUCCUAUGAUAGGAACGAAAAUAGAGCUUUCUUUUUAUGGUCAUUUGGAUGCCAUAGAAUUCUUCUAAGUCUUUCUUUUUCUUCUUAUUUUGAUGGUUUUGGAAUUCAUCCUUGAGACCUAUAAAAUACCUGCAAAGGUACAUCUUGCAUUGCAAACCCAUUAGUCCCAAUGACUAUGUUAUCAAUAAUCACCAAAAUCAUUAUGGCCUAGAUACAACAUGUCACAUUGUUUUCACUCACCCAAAAACAUUAAUAAUAAUCUUGUAUCAUACUAUUAUU
rnacentral:lncRNA from 1 species